CCUCAGAAAAGAAAGAUGCUGGAAGGAAGAUACUGUUCGGCAGGAACAGUUAGAGGAUAGGCUGUUUCCCUCACGGGUGUCUCAGGUAGUGCGAUCCUCUGGGAAUAGCGAAAAGACCCGCACGAAAAGACGGGUGUAGCCGGAACUGUGCCUGCCGUCGGGCGGUGCUGCAGAACCGGUACAUAGUGGGCACGGGUGGGGCCUCAGAUUGGAGAAACCGGCCCUGCUUCCAGCACAUUACCCACCAGCUGGCUGCUCGGGAUCCCGAGCUGCACGGACGCCCGAGGGUCACGCCACCGGGAAAGGGAAUAGGAGUCGGAAGGCUUCUCCGCCGGGCAGGGACAGAGCCCGACAUCGCCCGGCACCGGCCGUACCAGGACCCGCGGGUGGGGGCCGCGCGCUCCGCCCCGGCGCUCACCUGUAGGCGCUGAGGAGCGCCUUGUUGACCAGCACGUUCAAGUGAGAGGGAAAGAGACUUCCCUUCUCAUCUGAAUUUCCUGACUCCAACGAGAGGAAGAAGUUAAAGCAAGCAGGCAGAGACUGCUCCUCCUAUCUACUGUCGCAGGGGUGCCACAGCUAAGUUUGCCAGCUCAAUGAGCGCCAGCGCGCCAUGCAUGCGUUCACGCUGCUCCUGGAGGCGACGGUGGCAGGCAGCUGAAUGAGCGCUGUUUUUCUCUUCAUCGUCCUCUUCAUCAGACUGAAGAUACUCCAUUGGGUCCUGCUGUUCCUGAUCUGUUUUCUGGAUUGCUUUGGUCUUCAAAGCAGGAGCACGCUGCUCUCUAGUCUCCCAGUACCUAUAACAUCAAACGUGAGGAAUUCUUGUGAAAUACAUACAAACGACUCGCACACCAACAAUUCAAAAUGGGCAAAAACUUCCCAAGCUUGCAUCCAACUGGGUAUUGCACUUGGCUUUACCUUUCAGCCCUUAUAUGGCAGUAUUUAAGCUGUCAGAAAACUUCUUUACUCAGUAUUUCAUAUGUGAAGUGCCCAAGUGAACAUUGUGACAGAUUUCUUGUCUCCAUGGUGUUCUCAGCAGGCAUUUCUUCCUAGACAUACAGUACCCCUCAUACAAAUGCAAAUUCAGCAAAACUGCAGCACUAGCUAAUAAAGUAUUAGCAGGUGUUGAUCAAGCAAAAAAAAGUAUUUAAGCAGAGAGCAAACACAAACCAAAACCAAACUGUAAGAAAAAAGUCUCAAGAACUUUGUCUUGACCAGGAGUUCAUAAUUCUUUAAGGAGAGGCAAGGCUGUGCUGAUGUGUACUGGAAGAACAUCUAGUCUUGCUUUCUUGGGGUUUAACUAUCCCAAAGAAUGAAUGCUAUGUCAGACCACUCUUUUAAGUAUUUUGAGAAAGAUGAGGAAACUUACUUCGCUAGCCACUCGGCCACAGCUUUAUUGUCAGCUGUCUCCUUCUUACUCAGCCUGUCUGUGAGCUCUUCCCUCUUCAGUCGGGCAUAGGGAUGUUUGGGACAAUGACGGUUUGCAUGUGUGAAUCUGCUUAAACAGCCUUAAAAAAACACAGAGUGACAAUAAAGAACGUGUUACAGAAAGCAGCCAACCAAAGAAAGUGUAGCAUCUGUGGGAUGGAAAUGCCACUGAAUCCACCCUUCCCCAUUCACAAAAACCCUAGGUUUUGUUGAAAACCAAAGGCUCUAGGUUCGUAACAUGCCCCAUUAUUUUAUAUAUUAGUAUCCACUGACAGAGAAGGUAUGCAAUCCUUAGAUACAUGCAGAAUUAGGCAGAUUCUGCAGGGCUCUUCCCUUCCCUAAAAGUUCCACCAAAUUUAAACUCCAAAGCUUUUGCUAUGUGAACAUGCAUACAUUUCCAAUACUAGUCUGACCCCAGAAAACUGCAAAUCGUUCUCUGAUGACUUACCAUUCUCUGAGCAGACAAAAGGCUUCUCUCCUGUGUGGAGACGCUGGUGAGUUUUGAGCUGCCCACUCUGUACAAAGGCUUUCCCACAAUCUGGGUAAUCACAUAAAUAAGGCCUUUCACCUAAAGUAGUAACAGAAGAGAUUUAUGAAAGAUGACUAGAAGUGUCAUAGUAGUCAGUAGUGGUCCCUGGCUUCAGAAACUUGCAUCUACUUAAAAAAUCCUGGUGUACUUAGAAGUGCAUGCUCUAUGCUACUGACAAUACACUUAUUUCCGAAGAGAAAAAAAAUUGUACUUUUCCUUGUCAUAUUUCCUGAUUUAAGACUCCUAGAUAGCACUACAUAGGUUUUGUGAAACUGUCCAGAUAUAAAGCAAUGUUGUAUUGCAUCUGGUGUUCCCUCCCAUACCUGGUUCGGUGGCUGUCCCACGGGUGGUCCCCCCCCCAUUGGCAUCCCAUUGGCUACGGUCCUCUUUCCCCGCCCCCUCUCCCCUGGACAAAACCCUGCAGCGGGCUGAAUGCGCCCUCUUUCUUUACCUGGGUGGCUGCACCACCUGAUGUCCUGUCUCAAGCUAAUAAACGGAUACCUACACCCACGUGGAGAAAGAGCGCUCCUUGUCUUUUGUCCUUCGUCUAUGCUGGUUCCGUGCUGGGCUUGGAUUCGUGCUGGCCGGAUUGGAUUCAUAUAAGCCCAGAAACCCACAGAACACAGCAAAGAAAUAUGGACAAGUAAUUGGACAAGUAAUGUAAUUCAGGUUGUAACCAGAAGCAUCUUAUCCUUACCAUAGCCUGAACUAGGGUAAAAUAACCUGAGGUCAACAUCACUACAAGGUUAUAGAAAUAUCUCAUUAGGAGAAAUAGCUAAUGUUUAAGAAAAGCUAUAAUGAUGAAGGCUGCAUGAGAAACUUAUUCCAGAUUUAGGUUUUCUUAAAUCAGUCAUCAAGGAAGAGUUCCCCAUGCAAACUGCAGCCAGGAGAACAAAGGUAGCAGUUGUCUUCUUCCUCAAGUGGACCUGACUGCACACACUACACAAAGGUAUCCCAUGCCACCGCCCUCAGGAAGGCAACAAAAUGAGGGUGAGUCUGGCUCACUAAUUCAGAGGAAUGACAGGGUCAGCUCCACUCAGUUAAGUAGUUUUUACAAGUUCAACACAUUGUAGGACCAAGUGAAGUAACUUAUUUUGACCAAAAAAUGAGGAAUGCUGCUGUUUAAUAUCAUUAUUUAGAUUAGUCAUAGUGACCUAAGUCAGAAGGAGAUGGUGAUAGCCAAGGCUUUUGUGGGAUUUUGUUUGGUUGGUUUGAGAGGAGUGCUGGUGGUUGUGUCUGUAUUGUGAGCUACAUUUUUUCAUGUUUUAUGGCAAACAGUGUUCUGUUGAAGAAAUAAAAUGUAUUUGCUUGGUUUAAAAAAAACCCA